ensembl:lncRNA LINC01239 long intergenic non-protein coding RNA 1239
CUUUUAUUUUCUGUUCCUCUAAGGGAAGAGAGACCAAAGAGAAUUCUACUUUGACCCUGGCUUAAGAGUGGAACAUAGAUGUCUAUAAAACUAUGUGGUACCAGCAUGUUAUGAAGAAUAAGCAAGAAGAAAGAGAAGGAGAAGAAGCAGGAGGAGGAGGAGAGAAGGAAAGGGAGGAGGAGGAGGAGAAAAAGAUGGUGGUAGAGGAGGAGGAGAAGAAGAAGAAGGAGGAGAAGGAGAAGGAGAAGAAGGAGCAGGAGGAGGAGGAAGAAGAAGAAGAGGAGAAGGGAACUCACAUGCUACCUGUGUGAGUCACAUGUCAGUGCAAUUUCUGGAGGUCAAUUGUAGCCCUGAAGUCUCAGAACAAUGGCAAAAAGAAAUACGGAGGGCAUGAUACAUUUGGCAGACUAAAAUUCUCAAGAUUCCUAUGCAGUCGAGUUUUACCAUAUGACUGAGUUCCAACAAAGAAAUAUGAGUAGAAGAUUGUAUAAGCAUCAUUUUUGACCCAGGGCUUUAAGAAGCAGACUAUGGAAAUGAUGUUAGACAAAAAGCAAAUUUGAGCAAUUUUGUUAUUCGGGUUCAAAAUGGGUCGUAAAGCAGCAGAGACAACUCUCAAAACAUCAGCAACACAUUUGGCGCGGGAACUGCUAAUGAACGUACAGUGGAGUGGUGGUUCAAGAAGUUUUGCGAAGGAAACGAGAGGCUUGAAGACGAAGAGUGUAGUGGCCAGCCAUUGGAAGUAGACAACGACAAAUUGAGAGCAAUCAUUGAAGCUGAUCCUCUUACAACUACAGGAGAAGUUGCCAAGGAACUCACCAUCAAUCAUUCUAUAGUAGUUUGGCAUUUGAAGCAGAUCGGAAAGGUGAAAAAGCUUGAUAAGUGAAUGCCUCAUGAACAGAGCAAAAAUUUUAAAACAUUGUUGUUUUGAAGUGACGUCUUCUCUUAUUUUACACAACAAUGAACCAUUUCUGGAUCGAAUUAUGACAUGUGAUGAAAAGUGGAUUUUAUAUGACAAGCUGCAAAAACCAGCUCAGUGGUUGGAUGGAGAAGAAGCUUCAAAGCACUUCCCAAAGCUGAACUUGCACCAACAAAAGCUCAUGGUCACAAUUUGGUGGUCUGCCGCCAGCCUGAUCUACUACAGCUUUCGGAAUCCCAGCGAAACCAUUAUGUCUGAGAAAUAUGCUCAGCAAAUCGAUGAGAUGUGCCAAAAACUUCAAGGCCUGCAGCCGGCAUUGGUCAACCAAAAGGAUCCAAUUCUUCUCUACCACAACGCCUGACCACAUGUCACAUAACCAACCCUUCAAAAGUUGAAUAAAUUGGUCUACAAAAUUGCCUUAUCUGCCAUAUUCACCUGACCUCUCACCAACCAACUACCACUUCUUCAGUUUGUCUCUUCCAGAAUCAAAGCUAUAAAACUACAAAUGGUUCUCCAAAUGGAGCCCCAGAUGCAGUCCAUGACUAAGAUCUACUGCGGACCUCUGGACCGGCCUGCUAGCCCAGCUCCCACAUUAAUGACAUCAAAGGCACCCCUCCCGAGGAAAUCUCAACUGCAUGACACCUACUACGCCCCAAUUCAGCAGGAAGCAGUUAGAGUGGUCGUUGGCCAACCUCCCCAACAGCACUUGGGUUUUCUGUUGAGAUGGGGGACUGAGAGACAGGACUAGCUGGAUUUCCUAGGCCAACUAAGAAUCCCUAAGCCUAGCUGGGAAGGUGACUACACCCACCUUUAACCACUAGGCUUGCAACUUAGCUCACACCCGACCAAUCAGGUAGUAAAGAGAGCUUGCUAAAAUGCUAAUUAGGCAAAAACAGGAGGUAAAGAAAUAGCCAGUCAUCUAUCGCCUGACAGCACAAGGGGCGGGACAAUGAUCAGGAUAUAAACUCAGGCAUUCAAGCCAGCAAUGGCUACCCACUUUGGGUCCCCUCCCAUUUUAUGGGAGCUCUGUUUUCACUCUAUUAAAUCUUUCAACUACCAAAAAAAAAAAAAAAGAAAAGAAAAACAAUUAACUUUUUUAUAUAUCAGUUAAAUUCAUCCAUGAUGUUUUUUAUGUUUUCUGUAUUCUUACUGGUCAUUUUUCUAUUUGUUCUAUCAAGUAUCCAGGAAUAUGUGUUAAAGAUGUCCACUUCAAUUGUGAAUUUCUUGAGUUGUUCUUUCAGUUUUGUUCUUUUUUUACCUUAUGCAUUUUGAAGUUGUAUUAUUUCCUGCAUACAAAUGUAGAAUUGUGGUGUCAUUCUUUUGGAGUAAACCAUGAUCAUUACUGGCAUGACUUACUUACUUACUAUCUAUCUAGACAUGUUGAUUGCUUCAAUUUCUACUUUAAUCUUAAUAAAAAUACACCAACUUUUU